AAUAACCAAAUAUAACACUUGGGCUAAGAGUCAAGUUGGUAAUUUUUCUUACAUCUCCCCCUCCCGGAGCCCAGGUAUCAUAUACGCCCCCAAAAUAAAGAGCCUUGAACUACUAGAAGAAAAGCGCCUAU
rnacentral:ncRNA from 1 species